CUUUAUUGGAGAGUAUGAUACCGGCUCAGGACGAACGCUAGCGGCGUGGAUUAGGCAUGCAAGUCGUACGUGAAUCUCCGUUUCGGCGGAGAGGAAAGUGGCGAAAGGGUGAGUAACGCGUAGGUAAUCUGUCUUCGAGAUAGGGAUAACAGUUCGAAAGGGCUGCUAAUACCGUAUAUGAUUGGGACUUCUUUGGAUUUUCCAAUGAAAGGUGGUUUCGUUCGCGAAGCUGUCGCUUGGAGAUGAGCCUGCGUCCUAUUAGCUAGUUGGUGAGGUAACGGCUCACCAAGGCAACAAUGGGUAGCUAGUCUGAGAGGAUGAUUAGCCACAUUGGGACUGAGACACUGCCCAAACUCCUACGGGAGGCUGCAGUCGAGAAUAUUUCGCAAUGGGGGGAACCCUGACGAUGCGACGCCGCGUGAGGGAUGAAGGUUUUCGGAUUGUAAACCUCUGUGUUAUGGGAAGAAUUGCUAGGUGAUGAUAAGUCAGCUAGCUUGACGGUACCAUAGUAGAAAGCCCCAGCUAACUACGUGCCAGCAGCUGCGGUAAUACGUAGGGGGCUAGCGUUGUCCGGAAUUACUGGGCGUAAAGAGUGUGUAGGCGGCCAUGUAAGUCUAGUGUGAAAUCGCUUGGCUCAACCAAGCAACUGCGCUUGAUACUGUAUGGCUUGAGUACGGAAGAGGAAAGUGGAAUGUAAGGUGUAGCGGUGAAAUGCGUAGAUAUCUUAUAGAACACCUAUGGCGAAGGCAGCUUUCUGGUCCGAUACUGACGCUGAGUACACGAAAGCUUGGGGAGCGAACGGGAUUAGAUACCCCGGUAGUCCAAGCCGUAAACGAUGGGUACUAAGUGUAGGGGGUAUUGAUUCCUCCUGUGCUGUAGCUAACGCAUUAAGUACCCCGCCUGGGGAGUACGGCCGCAAGGUUAAAACUCAAGGUAAUUGACGG
rnacentral:rRNA from 1 species